UCGAGGGAAACGACAUCGAAAGCUUGCUUUUGAUGGGCGUCGACCGGCGCACGGGUGAGUAACGCGUAUCCAACCUGCCCACCACUUGGGAUAACCUUGCGAAAGUAAGACUAAUACCCAAUGAUAUCCCACGAAGGCAUCGGAAUGGGAUUAAAGAUUUAUCGGUGAUGGAUGGGGAUGCGUCUGAUUAGCUUGUUGGCGGGGUAACGGCCCACCAAGGCGACGAUCAGUAGGGGUUCUGAGAGGUUAACCCCACACUAGUACUGAGACACGGACCAGACUCC
rnacentral:rRNA from 1 species